CCAAGGGAGAGUGAACUCUAGCCUGUGAGGCUAGAGUUCACUCUCGCGAGAUCUGAGCAUUGCCGCGGCAAUGCUCAGAUCUCGCGAGAGGAACCUGGCGGAGCUUCUGUCUAGAGCUUCCCGGGUCCUCUCCUGCCUCCCUCCAUGCUUCUGUGGGCUGGUGAGGUAGAUCUUUGAUCUCCCCGCCGGCCCAUGGAGGCUUAGAGUAGAGCCGGCACUCAGAUAGCGCCAGCUCUGCAUGAGCCGACAGGGGAGAUCGGGAGAUCAGGGGUCAAGUCCUGGGGAAUAAAGUGUGAAUCUCCCAAG